rnacentral:rRNA from 1 species
CCUACGGGAGGCAGCAGUCGGGAAUAUUGCUCAAUGGAGGAAACUCUGACGCAGCGACGCCGCGUAUAGGAAGACGUUUUUCGGGAUGUAAACUAUUUUCGUUGGGGACGAGAAGGAGCAGUACCUAAGGAGGACGCUCCGUCUAACUACGUGCCAGCAGCCGCGGUAAUACGUAGGGAGCGAGCGUUAUCCGGAAUUAUUGGGUGUAAAGUGUGCGUAGACGGGAAAACAAGAGAGUGGUGAAAUCCCUGGGCUUAACGGAGGAACCGCAAAUAAAACUAUUUUUCUUGAUUGCAGUAGAGGUAAGUGGAAUUCCGAGUGUAGCGGGGAAAUGCGUAGAUAUUAGGAGGAACACCAGUGGCGAAGGCGACUUACUGGACUGUAACUGACGUUGAGGCACGAAAGUGUGGGGAGCAAACAGGAUUAGAUACCCGAGUAGUC